GAUGAACGCUGGCGGCGUGCCUAAUACAUGCAAGUCGAGCGAACGGACGAGAAGCUUGCUUCUCUGAUGUUAGCGGCGGACGGGUGAGUAACACGUGGAUAACCUACCUAUAAGACUGGGAUAACUUCGGGAAACCGGAGCUAAUACCGGAUAAUAUUUUGAACCGCAUGGUGCAAAAGUGAAAGACGGUCUUGGUGUCACUUAUAGCUGGAUCCGCGCUGCAUUAGCUAGUUGGGAAGGUAACGGCUUACCACGGCAACGAUGCAUAGCCGACCGGAGGGGGUGAACCGCCACUCUGGAACUGACACACGGCCCAGGCUCCUACGGGAGGCAGCAGUAGCGAAUCUACCGAAAAGGGCGAAAGCCUGACCGAGCAACGCAGCGUGAGUGAUGAAGGUCUUCGUAUCGUAUAACUCUGUUAUUAGGGAAGACCAUAUGUGUAAGUAACUGUGCACAUCUUGCCGGUACCGAAACAGAAAGCCACGCCUAACUCCGU
rnacentral:rRNA from 1 species